rnacentral:rRNA from 1 species
CCAAUAGCGUAUAUUAAAGUUGCUGCAGUUAAAAAGCUCGUAGUUGAAUUUCGGGACUAAUAUGUCGGUCGUGCCUCGGUACGUACUGGUAUUUUUGGUUUCUCCCUUCUGACGAACCUUGAUGUCAUUAAUUUGGUGUCUUGGGAAAUCAGGACUGUUACUUUGAAAAAAUUAGAGUGUUUAAAGCAGGCUCACGCUUGAAUACAUUAGCAUGGAAUAAUGAAAUAGGACGUUUGAUUCUAUUUUGUUGGUUUCUAGGAUCGACGUAAUGAUUAAUAGGGAUAGUUGGGGGCAUUAGUAUUCAAUUGUCAGAGGUGAAAUUCUUGGAUUUAUUGAAGACUGAAUACUGCGAAAGCAUUUGCCAAGGAUGUUUUCAUUAAUCAAGAACGAAAGUUAGGGGAUCGAAGACGAUCAGAUACCGUCGUAGUCUUAACCAUAAACUAUGCCGACUAGGGAUCGGAUGAUGUUAAUUUUUUAAUGACUCAUUCGGCGCCUUACG